CCAAAGGCUCUUUUCAGAGCCACUUAACGCUAUCAAAAGAGCUCGU
rfam:Tupaia chinensis contig173169, whole genome shotgun sequence.